GUGGGGAAUCUUGCGCAAUGGGCGAAAGCCUGACGCAGCCAUGCCGCGUGAAUGAUGAAGGUCUUAGGAUUGUAAAAUUCUUUCACCGGGGACGAUAAUGACGGUACCCGGAGAAGAAGCCCCGGCUAACUUCGUGCCAGCAGCCGCGGUAAUACGAAGGGGGCUAGCGUUGCUCGGAAUUACUGGGCGUAAAGGGCGCGUAGGCGGACAGUUUAGUCAGAGGUGAAAGCCCAGGGCUCAACCUUGGAAUUGCCUUUGAUACUGGCUGUCUUGAGUACGGGAGAGGUGAGUGGAACUCCGAGUGUAGAGGUGAAAUUCGUAGAUAUUCGGAAGAACACCAGUGGCGAAGGCGACUCACUGGCCCGUUACUGACGCUGAGGCGCGAAAGCGUGGGGAGCAAACAGGAUUAGAAACCCUGGUAUCC
rnacentral:rRNA from 1 species